UGUGGCUCAGUGGUAGAGCAUUUGCCUAGCAAGUUUAAGACCCUGGGUUCCAUUCCCAACA
rnacentral:tRNA from 1 species